GAUGAACGCUGGCGGCGUGCCUAAUACAUGCAAGUCGAGCGAGCAGACGAGGAGCUUGCUCCUCUGACGUUAGCGGCGGACGGGUGAGUAACACGUGGAUAACCUACCUAUAAGACUGGGAUAACUUCGGGAAACCGGAGCUAAUACCGGAUAAUAUAUUGAACCGCAUGGUUCAAUAGUGAAAGACGGUUUUGCUGUCACUUAUAGAUGGAUCCGCGCCGCAUUAGCUAGUUGGUAAGGUAACGGCUUACCAAGGCAACGAUGCGUAGCCGACCUGAGAGAGUGAUCGGCCACACUGGAACUGAGACACGGUCCAGACUCCUACGGGAGGCAGCAGUAGGGAAUCUUCCGCAAUGGGCGAAAGCCUGACGGAGCAACGCCGCGUGAGUGAUGAAGGUCUUCGGAUCGUAAAACUCUGUUAUUAGGGAAGAACAAAUGUGUAAGUAACUAUGCACGUCUUGACGGUACCUAAUCAGAAAGCCACGGCUAACUACGUGCCAGCCGCCGCAGUAA
rnacentral:rRNA from 1 species